GGACAAGUCAGAGCUGGGGCAGGCCCUGACUUGUCCCAGGUGCUCAGGGUUUAGGGAAGGCACAGGAAGCAUCUCCAGGCAGAUACCUUCUGCCUGGACCAGUCUCUUCCAUCCUCCAUCUCAGAACCUGUGUCCUUGCUCCUGGAGGAGUGAGCUGCUGCUGUUUCUUCUGACCUACCAAAUGAUGUUCAGUCCAGGUAACCACCUUUUUUUGUCUUAUUAAACUUAGGAAUGGUCUCUCUUUCCUGGGGAAAUGCAUUUAUUCAUUACUUUGUGACUGUUCCCAUGGAGGAAAAUGUUCCAUGGAUGCAGGUCUGUGGGACUGAGGGUGAAACAAUUCACCAUGACUAGAAAUUAGGAUGUAGGAAGAGAGAUUAUCACUAGAUAGAAGAAUCAAAACAUUCACAAAGUCUGCACUCCCUCUUACAUGAGGGGACUGUUCAGAGCCAGCUCGCCCCAGCAUGGUUGGUCUUCCUCAUUGAAGCUGCAAAAUUCAGUCUGGAGAGGGGCUAUGUGGGGGUCUGGAAGCUGAGGCUGGCCAGUUUUGAAAGCUGAGAUAGGGCCCAGGGUUUGUUCAAGGUUUUGUUGCUUCCAGAUACAUCUUUUAUCCAAGUUCUUUCACAGGGCUGUCAGACCUGGACUUGUCAGAAUUCCAUGGCCAAAUCCUCAUCUGGUAUAAUCUGAAAGGGCCCUGUUCAUUUCAAGGGAGCUGCACCACUUCCAUGAGUGGGGUGAGCCUGGGAGAAGCCAGUGAGAGCACAGAGAUGCUAAAGGAGCAACAGGGCUGGGAUGUGGGAGGCUCUGGAGGCUGCAGGUGAGCGAUGUCUCCUUUGCCCUCCUCCAGGUUUUCUCCUAGUGGCACAUUUGACUGCCACUGCUGGUAAGCACUGUGACCAGCCUAGCACCCUUCUGGAUAUCCCUUCUGGGCACAAGAUGCAUUGGGAAAUACUCCAUGGAGACCUCGUUGCUGUUUACAUCCUUGGGUUUCCUGCAUUGCAGUAUGAGAAACAGAAGAACAUGGAGGUUUUGCAAUUUGAGCUGAGCCGUGUAGGAGCUCCUUGGCAGAAGAGGCGGCCUCCCGAGGGCUGUACACCAGGAUAG
rnacentral:lncRNA from 14 species